rnacentral:rRNA from 1 species
CGUAAGUGGAUGUAUAGGGGCUGACGCCUGCCCGGUGCUGGAAGGUUAAAGAGAUUAGUUAGUAUGACGUAAGUCGAUAAUACGAAGCUUUGAACUGAAGCCCCAGUGAACGGCGGCCGUAACUAUAACGGUCCUAAGGGAGCGAAAUUCCUUGUCAGGUAAGUUCUGACCCGCACGAAAGGCGUAAUGAUCUGGGUACUGUCUCAACCAUAGACUCGGUGAAAUCUUAAUACCUGUGAAAAUGCAGGUUACCCGCGACUGGACGGAAAGACCCCAUGGAGCUUUACUGUAGCUUGAUAUUGGAAUUCGGUAAACUAUGUAGAGCAUAGGUGGGAGACUAUGAGAUUAAGGCGCCAGCCUUAAAGGAGUCACCAUUGGAAUACCACCCUUAGUUUAUUGGAUUUCUAACCUAGGACCAUAAUCUGGUUCAGGGACAGUGUCUGGUGGGCAGUUUGACUGGGGCGGUCGCCUCCUAAAGAGUAACGGAGGCGUUCAAAGGUUCCCUCAGAAUGGUUGGAAAUCAUUCAAAGAGCAUAAAGGUAUAAAGGGAGCUUGACUGCAAGACCUACAAGUCAAGCAGGUGCGAAAGCAGGACUUAGUGAUCAGGCGAUUCAGAAUGGAAUGGUCGUCGCUUAACGGAUAAAAGUUACCCCGGGGAUAACAGGCUGAUACCACCCAAUAGUUCACAUAGACGGUGGUGUUUGGCACCUCGAUGUCGGCUCGUCAUAUCCUGGAGCUGGAGUCGCUUCCAAGGGUUGGGCUGUUCGCCCAUUAAAGUGGCACGCGAGCUGGGUUCAGAACGUCGUGAGACAGUUCGGUCCCUAUCCGUCGUGGGCGCAGGAAAAUUGAGGAGAGCUGUCCUUAGUACGAGAGGACCGGGAUGGACCUACCUCUGGUGUAUCUGUUGUCACGCCAGUGGCAGGGCAGAGGAGCUAUGUAGG